rnacentral:rRNA from 1 species
UAAGCGGAGGAAAAGAAACUAACAAGGAUUCCCCUAGUAACUGCGAGUGAAGCGGGAAAAGCUCAAAUUUGAAAUCUGGCGUCCCGUCUGGCCGUCCGAGUUGUAGUCUGGAGAAGCGUCUUCCGCGCUGGACCCGUGUACAAGUCCCUUGGAACAGGGCGUCAUAGAUGGUGAGAAUCCCGUCUUUGACACGGACUUCCCAGUGCUUUUGUGAUGCGCUCUCAACGAGUCGAGUUGUUUGGGAAUGCAGCUCAAAAUGGGUGGUAAAUUCCAUCUAAAGCUAAAUACAGGCGASAGACCGAUAGCGAACAAGUACCGUGAGGGAAAGAUGAAAAGCACUUUGGAAAGAGAGUUAAACAGUACGUGAAAUUGCUGAAAGGGAAACGCUUGAAGUCAGUCGCGUCUGGCCGGGACUCAGCCUUGCCUUCCCCCCCCSGGGGGGGCUCGGUGCACUUUCUGGUUUGGACGGGCCAGCAUCGAUUUCGAUCCGUCGGAGAAAGUCGAAGGGAAUGUGGCACCUUUCGAGGUGUGUUUAUAGCCCUUCGUUCGUAUGCGACGGUCGAGAUCGAGGACUGCAGCACGGCCCUUGGGGUUUAUUCAACCCACACGACGUGCUUAGGAUGCUGGCUUAAUGGCUUUAAGCGACCCGUCUUGAAACACGGACCAAGGAGUCUAACAUGCCUGCGAGUGUUUGGGUGGAAAAACCCGAGCGCGCAAUGAAAGUGAUGGUUGAGACCUCUGUCGUGGAGGGCAUCGACGCCUGGACUUGAUCUACGGAGACGGUUCCACGGUAGAGCAUGCAUGUUGGGACCCGAAAGAUGGUGAACUAUGCCUGAAUAGGGUGAAGCCAGAGGAAACUCUGGUGGAAGCUCGUAGCGAUUCUGACGUGCAAAUCGAUCGUCAAAUUUGGGUAUAGGGGCGAAAGACUAAUCGAACCAUCUAGUAGCUGGU